rnacentral:rRNA from 1 species
UGCGCAGGCGGGCUUGUAAGUCAGUGGUGAAAUACUGCCGCUCAACGGUAGAACUGCCAUUGAUACUGCAAGUCUUGAAUAUGGUUGAGGUAGGCGGAAUGUGUCGUGUAGCGGUGAAAUGCAUAGAUAUGACACAGAACGCCGAUUGCGAAGGCAGCUUACUAAGCCAUUAUUGACGCUGAGGCACGAAAGCGUGGGUAGCGAACAGGAUUAGAUACCCUGGUAGUCC